GAUGAACGCUGGCGGCGUGCCUAACACAUGCAAGUCGAGCGAACGGACGAUAAGCUUGUGUCUUUGAUGGUAGCGGCGGACGGGCGAGUAACACGUGGAUCACCUACUUAUAUUACGGGGAUAAUUACGGGAAACCGGAGCUAAUACCGGAUGAUAUUUUGAACCGCAGGGUUCAAAAGAGAAUGACGGCUUUGGUGUCUGUUAUAGAUGGUUCCGCGCUGCAUUAGCUAGUUGGUAAGGUAACGGCUUACCAAGGCGACGAUGCGUAGCCGAGCUGAGAGGGUGAUCGGCCACACUGGAACUGAGACACGGUCCAGACUCCUACGGGAGGCAGCAGUAGGGAAUCUUCGGCAAUGGGCGAAAGCCUGACGCAGCCACGCCGCGUGUGUGAUGAAGGUCUUCGGAUCGUAAAGCUCUGUUGUUGGGGAAGAACAGCUGUGUAAGUAACUGUGGCCGUCUUGACGGUACCUAAUCAAAAAGCCACGGCUAACUACGUG
rnacentral:rRNA from 1 species